rnacentral:rRNA from 1 species
AACGAACGCUGGCGGCAUGCCUAACACAUGCAAGUCGAACGAAGCCUUCGGGCUUAGUGGCGCACGGGUGCGUAACGCGUGGGAAUCUGCCCUUAGGUACGGAAUAACUCAUGGAAACGUGUGCUAAUACCGUAUGAUGUCUUCGGACCAAAGAUUUAUCGCCUAGGGAUGAGCCCGCGUUGGAUUAGCUAGUUGGUGAGGUAAAGGCUCACCAAGGCGACGAUCCAUAGCUGGUCUGAGAGGAUGAUCAGCCACACUGGGACUGAGACACGGCCCAGACUCCUACGGGAGGCAGCAGUGGGGGAAUAUUGGACAAUGGGCGAAAGCCUGAUCCAGCAAUGCCGCGUGAGUGAAGAAGGCCUU